UGGAGUCUCUCUCUGUCACCCAGGUUGGAGUCCAGUGGUUCAAUCUCGGCUCACUGCAAGCUCUGCCUCCCAGGUUUACGCCAUUCUCCUGCCACAGCCUCCCGAAUAGCUGGGACUACAGGUGCAUGACACAAGGCCUGACUAAUUUUUUGUAAUUUUAGUAGAGAUGGGGUUUCACUGUGUUAGCCAGGAUGGUCUGGAUCUCCCAACCUCGUGAUCCGCCCGCCUCAGCCUCCCAAAGUGCUGGGAUUACAGGUGUGAGCCUGGCCAACAAUCUUUUUAAAGUACAUAUGAAAUCUAGCUAAAGGAAGAAUUAGGAAACAGGAAGAUGGAUCUCUAAAAAUUACCCCUAUAAUGUAGCACAGAAUGAUAAAGAAAAGGAUAACAUGUAAGAGAACUAUUUCAAAGGAAUCCAGAAGAAGAGAACAGAGAAAAUGGAGAAUACACAAUUAAAAUGGUAAUUGAGAAAUUGUUCCAAAACUGAUAUGAACAUGAAUCAUCAGAUUCAAAUAGUAAAAGUAGCCUCAACAUGAUAAGUACAAUUGAAUCCACACCUAGACAUAUCAUAAUGAAACUUCAGAACACCAACAUAAAAAACAAGUUUCUUUAAAGCGCCAGAAAGAAGGAAAAAUCAUUUGAAAGAAUAAUAUUAUACUGACUGCAGACAGCAGAAUUAUCGUAGCAACAAUAAAAGUCAAGAGAGUGGAAUAGUACCUUCAGUAAGUUGAAGCCACAUAGCUGUCAACUAGAAUUAUAUGUUGUUGUAAUCACCCCACAGCAAUGAAUGGGCUCCCCACGUGAAACUUUGUUCAGAUAUCAUGACUGAUGGUACCAUACACACAUACCAAGAGAGUAUGAACAUUUUUAUUAAUCAUGGAUUGAAGAUUCCUGGGGAGAACAGAUUCCCAAGCAGGUCUGAAAAUGGUUGGGAGAGCAGAGAAUGGAGACUGUCUUGGGUUUAUGAUGGUUAGGUAGUUAGAGGUGAAAGUGAAGUUUCCCUUCAUGAUCCAGGGCUUGCAUGGUUUAAUCUUUCUGACACCAACAAAGGAGGGUACCUAAGAAACCAGGUAAAGGUAUAUUGCAUUCCUUCCAAAGUGAAGGCAAAUUGAAAUUUGAGAGACUAUUGAAAUAGGCUCAGAACAGAUGUAGACAAAUAUGUGACUGAAAAGUACAUACCAGUUGCUGAUUGUUUGGUGUUUAUCUUCUCAUGGAGAAAGGAAGGCUGUGUGCAUACAAGUGACAUCUGCUGCUUGUUUCAAGUCCUAGAAUUGUAUGACUACCUUAGCUUCAUGUGGGCCUAGUGCCUCAUUCUGUUGGUCCUGUUCUUUGAUUAUACAGGCUGUUCACCUCAGGUACAGGUACACAUCUAUUGCUCUAUUGCUUCCUCCAAAGCAAAAUGCCCUUGAUAUUAAGUUCACAGAGCCUGAGGCUUUUGUCCAGAUUUUACUGAUUUCUCCAAUUUCUGCCUAGUAGUAAAGUCUUUGCCCUUAGACUAAGCCAGCUUUGUCCACUAGAGAUAUGAUAUGAGCCAUAUGCGUCAUUUAAAAUUUUCUAGUAGCUACAUUUAAAAAUAAAUUAACAGAGCUAGGUGAAACUAAUAAUACAGUGUAUUUACUCCAACACAUCCAAAAUAAUAUGAAAUGUUAUUAAGAUAUUUUGCAUUCAUAUUUUCUAAGUCUUCAAAAUUUAGAAUGUACUUUAUUUACACUUACAGAAUAUCUCAGUUAAGCGUUCAUUAAAAGUGCUUGAUCUGUGUUUAGAUUUUAUAAAAUUUACAGUUGAAAAAUUAGAUGCACAUACCUAAGUUAUUUCAAAUGUACAAAAACAGUUUCCAAAAGCUGAAUUGAGGGUCAAUUUUAAAAUUUAAAUUUAAAGUAAUUUAAGUUAAAUUAAAAAGUUAGUUUCUCAGUCUCCCUAGCCACAUUUUAAGUGCUUGGUAGCUACAAGUGGGCUAGCAGCUACUGCACUGGGCAGCACAGACUAUCGUGAAAUGCAGGCCCUCAUCUCAAAGCCUCCUUUCUGCUUGCAUGUUACAUCUUGAAUUAGAAAGAUGGGACUGCACCUCACUUCCUGAAAAUAACACUCAUAUACCUUAAACUGACAUUCAAAACUCUUAGUAACAUCUUGAAGGCAUUGAAACAGCCAAGGAUCUACAACUUCCUAAUUAAACUAGCUAAAAUUAAUUUUUCCUUAUUUUGUUAUCCCAAAGAACUUCUUCUUACCUCUGUUUUAGGCUUUAUUCCAAUAGGCUCAUAGUAUUUUUUACUGUAUCCUUGGUGAAUCGCCAUGUCAUAAUCCUAAAGAACAUGAUUCCUAAGUUUAGAAAAAUCUAGGUUUGAUCCCCCGAAUGCCCAUCUAUUGGCUUGGGCAGUUAUGUCUUCUGAGCCUAACAUUCCUUAUUUACAAAGUGGGAAUAAUACUUACUUAAUAAUAUGAUGUAGUGAGGAUUAUAAGUGAUACAGCCUAUAAAGUGCUUUACUUUGUGUCAGAGUUUGUCACCAAAAAAAUUACAAAAAUAAUGUUAGCAAAUAUUUAUUGAUCUGUUUCUCACUAAAAUUUAAGUCUUUAAAGGUGAGGGUCAUUGAUCUGCUUGCUAAAGGGACAUCACCUAGCACUGUGCUGUGCAUAUGGCCGUAUAUACAGCUCAGUCAAUGGUUGAGUUUAAAUUCAAACUGACUGCUACCACUGACUGGAUUCAGACUUCACCCUGCUUCGCAUGCCCUCCUUAUCUCCAUUUGUAUAUCUCUUCCAGUUGCUUUGCCUCUUUGUCUUCUUGGUCUCAAUAGUCACUAAAGUUUCAAGCAACAGGUGAGAAAAAUAAAAUUAAAAAGCCCUUUUUCAUAAGGCAAAACAGUCAUGGAAUAUAAAGGAAAUUUAAUUUUAGAACUGCAUUAGAAUAAAGUUGGUUAGGUAUAAACCCUUAACUCCUAGAAACGUAUUCAGAGCAACAGGCAUCUCCGCCAGCUCCCUGGGACCGGGCUACAGUGGAGUUGUGUCAUAGUGCAAAAGUAGUGAACUGCUGAUAAAAAGCAUUAACCUCCAUCAGAGUGGCUGCCAUUAACUGAUGAAAUCAAUUAAGCCAGCAGCACUACCUGCUGAAAACUGAUCUAGCAGAGGAACGGAUGGCAGGGUAGAACAGAUGAAAUGAAAAAAUAGUGGGCUGGGUUUUCUUCUUGCUCUGUUUUUAGAAAUGUUAAGUUCCGUCAGUGUGUUUUUUUGCACUGCUUUGAAGAACUCUUUCCCCGGCGACUCCCCCCCUGCUUGGCCUCAUUCCUUAAACUCACUAAGUUAUUACAGUUAAUACCGUGGUUAAUGGUUUCUGGAAAGACGAUAUCUAUCAGCAUCUGAGUGUACACAUUUUGGCCUAAAUACUGAGAAAUCGUAGGUAUGUAAUACAAAGCCUGGGUGUGCCUGCCUGUAGAAAGUAGCUCAUUAGGAUUAAUCUUUUAUGGAGUGACUAAUGCAAAGGGAACGAGGCCUUUUCCUCCCCAACUCGGCAGAGGUUUUGUCCAAACUUUCAAACAGGUUUCUUUGGAAUACAGCUGGUCACUACUGAAGACUUUGCUCAAACAUAUGGAACUUUAAAACCUUGAUUUUUUUUUUAACUUUUGUAUACUGUAGCAAUUCCCUGAAAAUCAAAUGGCAGAACCUAAACGGAAGACUCACUGCCAAAACGCAUGCCCAGUUGGGGAAAAGUGUGUGGGGAAUCAUCCAGCACACUUCGAGAGCUUCGAGUACAGCCUGGUAGAACUCUGUAUUACCUUCUGUUCUGAUUCCUGAGCUCUGCCAGACUUUUGUUUGAAAAAGCAUCUUUAUGCAGCAGUACAUUUGUUACGUUGUAUCUGAGAAUACUUUCCACCUUGGCUCCUGCUUUUAACGAGUAAAAUGACUUCUUCUCUUGCUACAAAGACCAAAAGGACACAAGGUACAAGGCAGAGCUUCUCAGCAGAGAUAUAUGUUUUUUUCUGCCAAAAUUAGUAUAAGACAAUAAGUUGUCUGUAAAGGUCCGGUAGUCAGAUAAAGGAGUCAAGUUCCUUUUCAGGGUAAUGUAAUUGUUAGUCCUCAUAAAAAAAAGUGUUGUGUGGUGGGGGGAGUUGCGGCUUUAUCAAUAAAAGCAUACAGAGCUGAAUAUCUACAUAAAGAAAUGUUCAGUAUAAUUUAUGGCAUUUCAUCAUGUCGAACUGCAUUUCAAGUAAUUCACCCUGGCAGUUUUAUUCUCAAAAUGGAAAUCUUAGUAUUUUCCUUGCCUUCAUCAAAUAAAGAGUUCGUGUUCAACUGUAGUCCGUAUACUUGAUAAUUUGUCUGGCUGGGUAAGGUUAUUAGCAAUUUAAGAAGUAAACCCAUUUGGAUUUUCAGAGUUAACAGAAAUAGGAGAUUGCUAUGAUGAUCUCUUAAAAAUUACAAUGUAACACACAAAAGUGAGAUUUAAGUAACAAGAUUUUCCAUACACCAAUAACACCAGGGAAAUUCAAACUCAAACUCCCUCGUUUAAUUUCCAGGGAUUAAGGGGUUGGUAUUGAAGUCAAUGAAAGAUACAUUUUACAAAACUGUUAAUUCAAUUCAGAAAAGCAGACCAAAGGCCCACUAUCUUUAGAGUUUCUUUGGUUGAAAUGCAACUUGAUCAACUGGGUGGAAGAUAUUUCUAAUUCUCUAAACUGGUCAGAACAAAGUAGAGGACAGUGGUCCCAGCCAGAGGAUCCUGAGGGUCUCCUAUGAUAAACUGUUAGACUUGCAAGGGCAUUUAGAGAUUAUUUAGCCCAAACCUAUAGCUUGGUAAAUGAGGAAAUUGAAGCCUAGAGAGUAAAUGACUUAGCUAACAUCAUUCAACUGGUCGGUAUAGGUGUUCACUCACUUGCCUUUCAAAUAGAGAUCUUUUUAACUCCCUCAUCAAAUUCUUUCAGGAAUUAUUGAUUUUCUUAGUUGGUUUCUUUUGAUUUUAUAUUUUAUCAUGGAGAUGAUAUUAAUUCCAGGAUAAAAUACUGAUAUAAGGAAUUUUCAAAAUUGUUGCUCAUUAUUUUCUAAUUUUCAUUUAGCCUCUUGCAACAUUGCAAACAAAGUUGAUAACAUUUUACCUUUAGAUUCACCUUUUCAAUUUACAAAACACUUAAUGUCUAAGACUUGCCAAUGAUAUAAGCUAUUUACUAUUUAACACAUUUAUAGAUAAGGUGUAGAGCAUUGGCAAGGUUAAAUGACUUUGCUAAGGUCACACAACCAGACAUUAGCGAAGCCAGACCUUGAACCCAGCAUUUUUUACUGUUUACACCAUGUUAGUUGUGAAUGUAUAACUAAGGCAAAGGGAUCACCUCAUAAAGUUCUUACUGAUGAGGGACUGAAUUGUUUAUUUGCUAUUUCACUGUAAGAAGCUUCGCUUAAUGGAUAAAAGCAUAAGAUUUAGACUCAAACCAGAAAUCCACCUCUACUUUAUAGUAGUAUGGGGACAUUGGUUAAGUGAUCUCUUUUAUUCACAAUCGUCUCAUCUGCUUAAUGGUGAUAAUAAUAAAUGUAGGUUUUUCUGGAACAAUUAAAUGGCUAAUGCAUUUGAGAAAAAGCAUGUAUUUCAUUGUUUGGCAUAAAAUAAACACUAUAUAUUUUUAGUAACUGUUACUAUGCUAUUAUUCUAAGCUAUACUAUCAGCAAGAUGUAAGUAAUGCUCCUAUUUCAUCAUAAAUAUAUAAAUACUUAUGUUUUUAUGUAUAGAUUGUUAUGCUUACAUAGGUUUCAGUGCACUUUGUUAGUAAUUAUUCUUCAUAUCUUUCAGAAUGCAAACUUCUUAAGGUCAAAGACAUGUGUUUUAUCUUUGAUAUAGAAUAUUUUCAAUGACAAGAUAUGUUCAUCUUUAUAUCCCCAAAACCUAUCAUGUUUUUGAAAGACAGUAAGUGUUAAUAAACAGUUAUUAGUGUUGAAAUAGAGUUUUGUAUUGACUUUGAAAAUAAUCCUUACUCUGGGUUGGUUGGCUGAUUGGCUUGUUUAUUUAUUUAGCUCAUGAGAUGAGAGGGGUAGACAUUUACUCUUCUAUCUAAAGGUCUUAGUUCCCUCUUGGCUGUCAUUUGGUGAGUAACUUGCUUUGCUGUUGUUUCUGUGGUGUUUAGAUAUCUAUAUGUAAAUCUUGUAACAUGGUCUUAGCUCCUUUCCUGGCAAGCUAAUUAUCUGAUGAGCAACCAAAGAAAUGAUCUAUUCUAGUGGAAGAGAAAAAAUUGACUGUGUUAAGCUUACCGAGAAAUAAUACUGUACAUACUAUUGCACUUUAUGAGACUUAAAGAAUUUGAAUACACAGUUUUUAUAUGCAUGCUAACCUUAGCUGCCUGGAAAGAUGCAGCAUAACUGCUUAAACUUAUUUUUUUUGUUGUUGUAUACUAACUUAUUUUAAAUGAGGAUGAGUAGAUAUAGACAUAUAUAUAUAUAUAUUUAUACACACACACACACACACACAAAUAUAUACACCUUCCCCCAAGUGCAUGUGCACGCGCGCACGCGCACACACACACACACACACGCAACUAGUUGACUGAGGAAGAUAAAACUUGGGCCUGAUUUACAGAUGUUUCUGCACAAUAUUCAGGCACCAUUCAAAAGUGGACAGCAACAGCAGUGCAGCCCCUUUCUGGACAUCCUUGAAAGACGGCAGUGAAGGAAAUUUCUCCCAGUGGGCAGAACUUCAAACACAGCACCUGGAGACACACUGGCAAAGGAAAUAACCAGAGUGUUUCUGCCAAAACUACCAUCAGUGGACAUACAGAAUGCCUUUUUUGCCAUCACAGUAUUCCAUCUAGCAUUGCUUCUGAUUAAGAAAUUUACUUCAUGCAAAUAAAGUGCAGUAAUGGGUCCACGUUCAUGAAAUUCACUGAUCUUACCAUGUUCCUCAGCAUCCUGAAGUAGCUGCUUCAUAGAAUAUUGGAAUGGCCUUUUGGAAAUUCAGAGACAGCACCAACUACAUGGCGACACCUUCCAGGACUGAAGUACUUUCCUCCAGGAGGCUGUAUGUGCUGUAAAUCUGCAUCUAGUGUAUGGUGCUGCUUCUCCCAUAGCCAGGAUUCAUGGGUCCAGGAAUCAAGGGGUGAAAACGAGAAAAUCAAGGGAUGAAAAUGACUCCACUCACUCUUACUCCUGGGAAGCCACUAUCAGGAGUUUUGCUUGCCAUCCCCCUGAACUUUUGCAUUGUUGAUCUAGAAGUCUUAGUUCCAAAGUUAGGAGUGCUUCUACCAGAAGACAUCACAAUGAUUCCAUUGAUCUGGAAAUUGAAGCUAUUACCUGACCAUUGUAAGCUCCUCAUGUCUCUGAGUUCACAGGCAAAGAAGAGAGUUACUGUACUGGCUGGGAUUAUCAGUCCUAAUCAUCAAGGGGAAAUUAAACUGCUACUCCACAAUGGAGGUAACGGACACUAUGUUUAGAAUGCAGGAGGCCCUUAGGUUGGCAUCUCCUAGUACUCCCAUGUCCUGUGAUUAAAGCCAAUGGAAAACUAUAACAAACCUGAGAGUGGCCCAGACUCUUCAGAAAGGAAGGUUUGGAUCACUCCACCAGGCAAACAACCAUGACCAUCAGAGGUGCUGCUGAAGGAAAAGGGAAUACGGAGUGCCUAGUGGGAGAAGGCAGUUACAAAUAUCAGCUACAAGUGUGUGACCAAUUGCAGAAACAAUGACUGUAAAUGUUGUAAGUAUUUCUUCCUUAUUUUGUUAUGAAUAUGUUUGUAUGUGGGCAUAUGAGUGUGUGUAUGUAUUUGUGUGUGUGUGUGUGUAUAUAUAUAUGUAAAUGACAUUUUGAUUUCUUUUUUUCUUAUCCCCCAUCAUUUAAUAUAAGAUGUAUUAAUAAUAGUUAACUUUAUAUCACAUUAUUUAAGUUACUGGAUAUAAAAAAAGAAGGAACAACUCCCAAAAAACUUUGCAUCCUUUUCUGGUGAAAAGGUUACUGUGUUUUCAGUUAUAUGAAAGAUAAUUGUUUCAGGUUAGGUAGAAAUAUAUGACUUUUUUUUCUGCUUGGAGAUUAAAUAUGGUUUAGGAAAAUGUGUAUAACUGUCAAGUUUUCAAGGGAUAGACAGUACGAUUUUUGUUGUAUUAACUUGACACAUUAAACUGUGAUGUUGCUGUGAAGAUAUUUUGAGAAGUGAUUAAAGUCCAUAAUCAGUUGCCUUUAAGGAAGGGAGAUUAUUUGAGGUAAUCUAGGUGGGCCUGAUUCAAUCAUUAAGAGGACUUAAGAGCAUAGCUGUUUCCUGAAGAGGAAACUUCACCUAUGGACAGCUUCAGUCUACCUUUCCUGAGGACCCACGUGAUGGAUUUCAGACAUACAAUCAUGUAAGCCAAGUCCCCACAGUCAAUAUCUUAAUAUGUAUCUCAUACUGGUUAUUCUUCAGUGGUUAAACUCUGACUGACACAGAAUAUGUGUGUAUUUAUUUAUUAUUUGUAAAUUGUUUUUCUAUAUUUUCCUGUUGGGAGGAUUAUAUUGUCUUAUUGAUUUGUAAAGGCUCUUUGUAUAUUAAAGAUAUACAUCAAAUAUGUUAAAAAAAAUUUUCUCAUCCUCCUAUUGUUUUCUCUUUAUUAUGCUUUUAAAUGUGGAGAACUUUUUAAUUUUUAUAAAUUU
rnacentral:lncRNA from 1 species